rnacentral:rRNA from 1 species
UACAGAGGUCUCAAGCGUUGUUCGGAUUCAUUGGGCGUAAAGGGUGCGUAGGCGGCGGGGCAAGUCAGGUGUGAAAUCCCGGAGCUUAACUCCGGAACUGCACUUGAUACUGCUUUGCUAGAGUACUGGAGAGGAGACUGGAAUUUACGGUGUAGCAGUGAAAUGCGUAGAUAUCGUAAGGAAGACCAGUGGCGAAGGCGAGUCUCUGGACAGUUACUGACGCUGAGGCACGAAGGCCAGGGGAGCAAACGGG